rnacentral:rRNA from 1 species
UGGGGAAUAUUGCACAAUGGGCGCAAGCCUGAUGCAGCCAUGCCGCGUGUGUGAAGAAGGCCUUCGGGUUGUAAAGCACUUUCAGCGAGGAGGAAGGUGGUGAACUUAAUACGUUCAUCAAUUGACGUUACUCGCAGAAGAAGCACCGGCUAACUCCGUGCCAGCAGCCGCGGUAAUACGGAGGGUGCAAGCGUUAAUCGGAAUUACUGGGCGUAAAGCGCACGCAGGCGGUUUGUUAAGUCAGAUGUGAAAUCCCCGGGCUCAACCUGGGAACUGCAUUUGAAACUGGCAAGCUAGAGUCUCGUAGAGGGGGGUAGAAUUCCAGGUGUAGCGGUGAAAUGCGUAGAGAUCUGGAGGAAUACCGGUGGCGAAGGCGGCCCCCUGGACGAAGACUGACGCUCAGGUGCGAAAGCGUGGGGAGCAAACAGAUUAGAUACCCUGGUAGUCCACGCUGUAAACGAUGUCGAUUUUGGAGGUUGUGCCCUUGAGGCGUGGCUUCCGGAGCUAACGCGUUAAAUCGACCGCCUGGGGAGUAC